UGGGGAAUAUUGGACAAUGGGCGAAAGCCUGAUCCAGCCAUGCCGCGUGUGUGAAGAAGGUCUUCGGAUUGUAAAGCACUUUAAGUUGGGAGGAAGGGCAGUAAGCGAAUACCUUGCUGUUUUGACGUUACCGACAGAAUAAGCACCGGCUAACUCUGUGCCAGCAGCCGCGGUAAUACAGAGGGUGCAAGCGUUAAUCGGAAUUACUGGGCGUAAAGCGCGCGUAGGUGGUUCGUUAAGUUGAAUGUGAAAGCCCCGGGCUCAACCUGGGAACUGCAUCCAAAACUGGCGAGCUAGAGUAGGGCAGAGGGUGGUGGAAUUUCCUGUGUAGCGGUGAAAUGCGUAGAUAUAGGAAGGAACACCAGUGGCGAAGGCGACCACCUGGGCUCAUACUGACACUGAGAUGCGAAAGCGUGGGGAGCAAACAGG
rnacentral:rRNA from 1 species